AUUGAACGCUGGCGGCAGGCCUAACACAUGCAAGUCGAACGAGUGGCGGACGGGUGAGUUAUGUCUUGGAAACUGCCUGAUGGAGGGGGAUAACUACUUGAAACGGUAGCUAAUACCGCAUACCAUUGGAUGUGCCCAGAUGGGAUUAGCGAGUGGGUGGGGUAAAGGCUCACCUAGCCGACGAUCCCUAGCUGGUCUGAGAGGAUGAACAGCCACACUGUAACUGAGACACGGUCCAGACUCCUACGGGAGGCGGCGGUGGGGAGUAUUGCACUAUGGGCGGAAGGCUGGUGCAGCCAUGCCACGUGUAUGAAGAAGGCCUUCGGGUUGUAAAGUAAUUUCAGCGGGAGAGCGGUACCCGCAGAAGAAGGACCGGCUAACUCCGUGCCAGCAGCCGCGGUAAUAC
rnacentral:rRNA from 1 species